rnacentral:lncRNA from 1 species
GUGGUGAGAACUGGGCCAGUCAGGCAGAGUAAAGACAGAGCAGCAACACAACAGAAACUACACAAAGAAAAGUGCAAUCAAGUUGGAGGGACAGUACCAUAGUAAAGAAGGGUGUCAGGACCAGGGUCAACGCGGAAGAAACUACUGAUGCACAUAAUGGGACAUAAAAAGCUUUAGGUCACAGUGAUAGCAUCGAUUGGGAUGAUGAAAUUGGUGCUGACGAGAGUGGUGCUGAUGAGACCUGGAGUCCCUCAAAGAUUCUGAUGAAGAGGAGUCUGACGAGUUUGAAGAUUCUGGGGACAGCAGCUUGGAUGCUGCAGUAGUUUAUGUGUCGGGGGGCUAGGGUCAGUCUGUUACAUCUGGAGUAUUUCUCUUGUCUUAUCCGGUGUCCUGUGUGAAUUUAAAUAUGCUCUCUCUAAUUCUCUCUUUCUUUCUUUCUCUCGGAGGACCUGAGCCCUAGGACCAUGCCUCAGGACUACCUGGCAUGAUGACUCCUUGCUGUCCCCAGUCCACCUGGCCGUGCUGCUUCUCCAGUUUCAACUGUUCUGCCUACGGCUAUGGAACCCUGACCUGUUCACCGGACGUGCUUGUUGCACCCUCGACAACUACUAUGAUUAUUAUUAUUUGACCAUGCUGGUCAUUUAUGAACAUUUUAACAUCUUGACCAUGUUCUGUUAUAAUAUCCACCUGGCACAGCCAGAAGAGGACUGGCCACCCCUCAUAGCCUGGUUCCUCUCUAGGUUUCUUGCUAGGUUUUGGCCUUUCUAGGGAGUUUUUCCUAGGGAGUUUUUCCUAGCCACCGUGCUUC